GAUGAACGCUGGCGGCGUGCCUAAUACAUGCAAGUCGAGCGAACAGACGAGGAACUUGUUCCGCUGACGUUAGCGGCGGACGGGUGAGUAACACGUGGAGAACCUACCUUUAAGACUGGGACAACUUCGGGAAACCGGAGCUAAUACCGCAUAAAAUAUUUAACCACAUGGUUUAAGAUUGAAAGAUGGAUUUGCUUCAACUAAUGAAGGGAUCCGCGCGGCAUUAGUUAUUUGGUAAGGUAACGGCUUACAAAGCGAACGAUGCGUAGCCGACCUGAGAGGGUGUUCGGCCACACUGGAACUGAGACACGGUCCAGACUCCUACGGGAGGCAGCAGUAGGGAAUCUUCCGCAAUGGGCGAAAGCCUGACGGAGCAACGCCGCGUGAGUGAUGAAGGUCUUCGGAUCGUAAAACUCUGUUAUUAGGGAAGAACAAAUGUGUAAGUAACUAUGCACGUCUUGACGGUACCUAAUCAGAAAGCCACGGCUAACUACGUG
rnacentral:rRNA from 1 species